rnacentral:rRNA from 1 species
GACGAACGCUGGCGGCGUGCCUAAUACAUGCAAGUAGAACGCUGAAGAGAGGAGCUUGCUCUUCUUGGAUGAGUUGCGAACGGGUGAGUAACGCGUAGGUAACCUGCCUGGUAGCGGGGGAUAACUAUUGGAAACGAUAGCUAAUACCGCAUAACAACAGUUGUUGCAUGACAGCUGUUUAAAAGAUGCAAUUGCAUCACUACCAGAUGGACCUGCGUUGUAUUAGCUAGUUGGUGAGGUAACGGCUCACCAAGGCGACGAUACAUAGCCGACCUGAGAGGGUGAUCGGCCACACUGGGACUGGGACACCGCCCAGACUCCUACGGGAGGCAGCAGUAGGGAAUCUUCGGCAAUGGGGGGAACCCUGACCGAGCAACGCCGCGUGAGUGAAGAAGGUUUUCGGAUCGUAAAGCUCUGUUGUAAGAGAAGAACGGGUGUGAGAGUGGAAAGUUCACACUGUGACGGUAUCUUACCAGAAAGGGACGGCUAACUACGU